GGAUUUGUCAGUUGGUCGGGCUUCACUGUCCGUAUUGACUUGAUGGAUUCUUACCUUCUGAAUAACCAGCAUGCUAUUAAGUUAGUGCGUUGGGGAAGCAGAUCUAUUACCUUGAAAAAUUAGAGUGCUUAAAGCGAGCUAGUGCUUGAAUAGAUUAGCAUGGAAUAAUAAAAUAGGACGGCAUGGUUCUAUUUUGUUGGUUUCUAGGAUCACCGUAAUGAU
rnacentral:rRNA from 1 species